CGGCAUGGGGAAGGAAGUGCAUCGAAUAGGGAAGGGAGGCAAAGCAUCGGCAACAUACCUGACCUAAGCCCUGAGCCGUCACUACCGCUCACCUCCAAUCGCAUCCCUGAGUCAUUGCCACCAGUCACCUCCAGUUGCCGCCCCACUAGUGCUAGCCCGGAAACAUUUCCUGAUCGUGUCCUCAUGUUUCUGAAGGGGAAACGCAGCCCCCUCCCAUUUCUGUGCAUCGUAGCCAUUCAUUGCACAUGGAUUGUUUACUUGGGAGGGAGCGUCAUUGUGGAUUGUUUGAACUUGCCCAAAUACCUAUUGUUUAUAAAUAAUUAGAAGAUUUUUAAGAUUAAAUUGUAAAAAUACUAGCAUAAUUUUAUAAAUAAAUUAAAUAAUUAUAAUUUUAUUAUUAAAA